GGUGGUGUGGCGCAAAGGUAGCGUGCGGUCCUCCUACUUGCUAAACCAAGUUUGAGUCACCGAAGACUGAGGUUGUGGGUUCGAGUCCCAUCACCAUCG